AUAACCUGCCUCAUACAGGGGGAUAACACUUAGAAAUAGGUGCUAAUACCGCAUAAGCGCACAGCUUCGCAUGAAGCAGUGUGGAAAACAAAAAGCUAAAGCUUUUGGUGGUAUACGAUGGAUCCGCGUCUGAUUAGCUAGUUGGCGGGGUAAAGGCCCACCAAGGCGACGAUCAGUAGCCGGCCUGAGAGGGUGAACGGCCACAUUGGGACUGAGACACGGCCCAAACUCCUACGGGAGGCAGCAG
rnacentral:rRNA from 1 species